CCUACGGGCCGCACCAGUGGGGAAUAUUGGACAAUGGGCGAGAGCCUGAUCCAGCAAUGCCGCGUGUGUGAAGAAGGUCUUCGGAUUGUAAAGCACUUUCGACGGGGACGGUGAUGACGGUACCCGUAGAAGAAGCCCCGGCUAACUUCGUGCCAGCAGCCGCGGUAAUACGAAGGGGGCUAGCGUUGCUCGGAAUGACUGGGCGUAAAGAGCGCGUAGGCGGUUUAUGCAGUCAGAUGUGAAAUCCCCGGGCUUAACCUGGGAACUGCAUUUGAGACGCAUAGACUAGAGGUCGAGAGAGGGUUGUGGAAUUCCCAGUGCAGAGGUGAAAUUCGUAGAUAUUGGGAAGAACACCGGUGGCGAAGGCGGCAACCUGGCUCGAUACUGACGCUGAGGCGCGAAAGCGUGGGGAGCAAACAGGAUUAGAUACCCUCGUAGUC
rnacentral:rRNA from 1 species